rnacentral:misc_RNA from 1 species
GAUGAAGAACGCAGCGAAAUGCGAUAAGUAAUGUGAAUUGCAGAAUUCAGUGAAUCAUCGAAUCUUUGAACGCACCUUGCGCUCCUUGGUAUUCCGAGGAGCAUGCCUGUUUGAGUGUCAUUUCAACCCUCAAGCCCCCGGGUUUGGUGUUGGGGAUCGGCUCUGCCUUACGGCGGUGCCGCCCCCGAAAUACAUUGGCGGUCUCGCUGCAGCCUCCAUUGCGUAGUAGCUAACACCUCGCAACUGGAACGCGGCGCGGCCAUGCCGUAAAACCCCAACUUCUGAAUGUUGACCUCGGAUCAGGUAGGAAUACCCGCUGAACUUAAGCAUAUCAAUAAGCGGAGGA